CCGGAAGGUGCACUUGGACAAACUCAGGGCUUAGCUAAGCACAGAUAUAGCGUCUCC
rnacentral:tRNA from 1 species